rnacentral:rRNA from 1 species
GACGAACCGAGCGAACGUUGUUCGGAAUCACUGGGCUUAAAGGGCGCGUAGGCGGGCUGUCAAGUCUGGGGUGAAAUCCCGCGGCUCAACCCGCGGGAACUGCCUCAGAUACUGACGGUCUCGAGGGGUAGGGCGGAGCGGAACUGAUGGUGGAGCGGUGAAAUGCGUUGAUAUCAUCAGGAACUCCGGUGGCGAAGGCGGCUCGCUGGACCUUCUGACCGCUGAGGCGCGAAGCCAGGAAGCAAAGCGGG